rnacentral:tRNA from 1 species
GCCUGGGUGGCUCAGUGGGUUAAGCAUCUGACUUCGGUUCAGGUCAUGAUCUCACAGUUCGUGAGUUCAAGCCCCGCAUCGGGCU